rnacentral:rRNA from 1 species
AGCCUAACACAUGCAAGUCGAGCGCGCCCUUCGGGGUGAGCGGCGGACGGGUUAGUAACGCGUGGGAAUAUGCCCAGAUCUGCGGAAUAGCCUCUGGAAACGGAGAGUAAUACCGCAUACGCCCUUCGGGGGAAAGAUUUAUCGGAUUUGGAUUAGCCCGCGUUGGAUUAGGUAGUUGGUGGGGUAAUGGCCUACCAAGCCGACGAUCCAUAGCUGGUUUGAGAGGAUGAUCAGCAACACUGGGACUGAGACACGGCCCAGACUCCUACGGGAGGCAGCAGUGGGGAAUCUUAGACAAUGGGGGAAACCCUGAUCUAGCCAUGCCGCGUGAGUGACGAAGGCCCUAGGGUCGUAAAGCUCUUUCAGCUGUGAAGAUAAUGACGGUAGCAGCAGAAGAAACCCCGGCUAACUCCGUGCCAGCAGCCGCGGUAAUACGGAGGGGGUUAGCGUUGUUCGGAAUUACUGGGCGUAAAGCGCGCGUAGGCGGACUAUUAAGUCGAGGGUGAAAUCCCGGGGCUCAACCCCGGAACUGCCUUCGAUACUGGUAGUCUUGAGUUCGAGAGAGGUGAGUGGAAUUCCGAGUGUAGAGGUGAAAUUCGU